rnacentral:tRNA from 1 species
GAAGACAUAGCUUAAGUGGUAGAGCAUUUGACUAACAAACAUGAGACCUUGAGUUCCAAUCUCAAUGUAACCA